AAAACAUUUACACACAUCCAUAAGUAAUUCAAAGCAAUUACACUAUUAUUUCAAGUUCAAAAACAAAUCAUGGAUACUUCGAAAAUAAGCCACGAAGCUGGAAAUGCCCAGGGCCAAGCCCAGGAAAAGGGUAGUCAGUUGAUGGACAACGCUGGGAAUGCUGCGCAGUCUACCAAGAAAACAGUGGAAAAGGUUUGAACAUUAUUAAUUAUGCGUUGUAUCGAUUAGACGUGACCAAAUUAUGAUUUUAAUUAGAGGUUCUAGGUCAACAAGUUGAAAUCAAUGAAUUCACUUAAACCUACAUAAUUGGUCGAAAUUUCAACAAGAGUUCAAAUCUAAGCAACAUAAUCGGAUGUAGCCUAAAUUAGAAGAAACAAGAUCUUCACGUAAACUAUUAAUACGUCGAGGUUCAUUUUUUCAUGCUAGUAGCGUUUUCGGCCUGGAAAUUUCGACCUCACUUUUGGUCGAAAAAUAAUCGACCUCAUGUGGUCGAAAUUUUCAAAAUUAAUUUUUAUUUUUUUAUUUUUUUAGGAUUUCGACCACGCGGGGUCGAAAUUAAUUUUUAUUUUUUUAUUUUUUUAGGAUUUCGACCACGCGGGGUCGAUUUUAACGAAAAAUAUAAUUUCGACCGCAUGAGGUCGAAAUUAUUUUUUGUACAAAUAAUAAAUGUAAAAAAAAUCAUUUUACACAAAAGUAUAUUAUAUAAAUAUAAAAAUAUUAAUUAAGAAAUAAAAAAAAUCAAAUUUCGACCGCAUGAGGUCAAAAUAAUUAAGUCAAAUUUGGUCAAAUCUGACUUAAUUUUUUCGACCAUAUGCAGUGAAAAAAGUUCAAUGAAAAAUACACCCACACAAAUAUUUCAUCUUCCCCCCAAAACUCUCCUCUUUCUUGAAAAAAAACACUUUACCCUCUAAACUCAUUUCCCCAAAAUUGCCGCCACCCCACCACCGUAUCUCUGUUGCAAAAUGAAUUUGCAACUCAAGAAAUCUGAUACAACAGUAAAGAGAACAAGAGAAAGCUAAAACUAGAAAGAGAAGAGAAAAAGAAUAAGAAGCACAAAGUAAUCUUUCUUAAAGCUGCUCAAAUCAAAAUUGCAACAAUCUCUGGCCACCCACUACCACCGGCAUUCUUCAAGUAGGCGACGCCGUCCAGUUAAGUCAUUGGAGCAGCCACCAGCCGCUGCCGACUGAACAGUGAGCUAGAAGCAGCUGAAAUUCCAUAUUCAGAUCAUCAACCAGUUGUUAGAAUUCUCCCCCAAGGUUGUCAAUUGCCGGAGUUAAGGGAGAUUUGCUAGAUACAAGAAAGUAGCAGCAGAGAUGGCGGGUGAUAAUAGGGGUAAGGCUAUUGCUAAAGCCCCGAAAAGUCAAAGAAGAAGAAGGGUCCGUUUAUACCACCAGAGGGCGUAGUGCCAGGAACCCUUUGGAUUCCCGGCAGAGAUCGAUCUCCUCCCCCAUAUAUCCCGGGGAUGCUCGUAGGUCACAGCCUACCCACCCCCCCCCCCCCCGACCUUCCCAUGGUAGACGACGUAUGUCACAAGCCAACGUAGUUCAUGGUCUUGUGGAUGAGGAUAGUGAGAAGGAUUCGGACCAUGUCUCCAACACCCAACGUUGACUUUUUUGAUUCGUAUACUUUUGGAUUCUAAUUUUCCUAUGUUUUCUUGGAUAUGUAUAUGAUAUUUAAGUGUUUGAAUGUAGUUUUAAUUCGAAUUAGAAGUACUUUGAAGGUGAAUUUGAUUGCAGAAUGUAGUUUAUGGUUGUUUAAGUUUAUGAUGUUUAAGUGUUUCAAUCUAGUUGUAAUUUGAAUUAGAAGUACUUUAAAUUGAAAUUUGAGGUUGAAUUUGAUUGUAGAAUGUUGUA